UACAGGCCACUCUGCUAAUGUUGAAGGGUACUUCGGUUUCCACAGGCCACUCUGCUAAUGUUGAAGGGUACUUCGGUUUCCACAGGCCACUCUGCUAAUGUUGAAGGGUACUACGAUUUCUACAGGCCACUCUGCCAAUGUUGAUCAAAACCAUCUUCCUCUUUCAGUAGCAGAAGGUUAUAAAUUAUUCUGAGGCGUGGGCGUAUGAAAAGCCACAAAGUUAAUCUUGUGCGCAACAGAAAAUAGCAGACCCUUCACGCAAAAAUAUAGAUUUUCACUGCAUUUAAAUUAAUCAACAUAUCCGCAGUGGCUGUGAAAUGGGCUGAAGAAACUAGGUCACUAGGUAGUUAAUACGCUAAUGAAACCAGGUCACUAGGUAGUUAAUACGCUAAUGAAACCAGGUCACUAGGUAGUUAAUACUCUAAAGAAACCAGGUCACUAGGUAGUUAAUACGCUAAAGAAACCAGGUCACUAGGUAGUUAAUACGCUAAUGAAACCAGGUCACUAGGUAGUUAAUACUCUAAAGAAACCAGGUCACUAGGUAGUUAAUACGCUAAUGAAACCAGGUCACUAGGUAGUUAAUACUCUAAAGAAACCAGGUCACUAGGUAGUUAAUACGCUAAUGAAACCAGGUCACUAGGUAGUUAAUACUCUAAAGAAACCAGGUCACUAGGUAGUUAAUACGCUA